rnacentral:rRNA from 1 species
AGUGAACGCUGGCGGUAGGCCUAACACAUGCAAGUCGAACGGCAGCACAGUAAGAGCUUGCUCUUACGGGUGGCGAGUGGCGGACGGGUGAGGAAUACAUCGGAAUCUACUUUUUCGUGGGGGAUAACGUAGGGAAACUUACGCUAAUACCGCAUACGACCUACGGGUGAAAGCAGGGGAUCUUCGGACCUUGCGCGAUUGAAUGAGCCGAUGUCGGAUUAGCUAGUUGGCGGGGUAAAGGCCCACCAAGGCGACGAUCCGUAGCUGGUGUGAGAGGAUGAUAGGCCGCACUGGAACGGAGACACGGUCCAGACUCCUACGGGAGGCCGACGUGGGGAAGAGGGGGCAAAGGGCGGAAACCUGGCACAAUCAUACCCCGUCGGUGGAGGAGGCGUUGGGGUUGGAAAGACGUUUUUUUGGGCAAAAAAAGCCGCCGGGUAACCCCCCGCGGUUGUGACGGUACCCAAAGAAGAAGCACCGGCUAACUUCGUG